rnacentral:rRNA from 1 species
UACGGAGGGGGCUAGCGUUGUUCGGAAUUACUGGGCGUAAAGGGCGCGUAGGCGGCCAUCUAAGUCAGACGUGAAAUCCCCCCGGCUUAACCUGGGAACUGCGUCUGAUACUGGACGGCUUGAGUAUGGGAGAGGGAUGUAGAAUUCCAGGUGUAGCGGUGAAAUGCGUAGAUAUCUGGAGGAAUACCGGUGGCGAAGGCGGCAUCCUGGACCUAACUGACGCUGAGGCGGCG